UACGGGGGGGGCAAGCGUUGUUCGGAAUUACUGGGCGUAAAGGGUUCGUAGGUGGCCAACUAAGUCAGACGUGAAAUCCCUCAGCUUAACUGGGGAACUGCGUCUGAGACUGGAUGGCUUGAGUGCAGGAGAGGAACGCGGAAUUCCAGGUGUAGCGGUGAAAUGCGUAGAUAUCUGGAGGAACACCUGAGGUGAAGGCGGGUUGCUGGGCCAACACUGACGCUGAGGCGCGAAAGCCAGGGGAGCAAACAGG
rnacentral:rRNA from 1 species